rnacentral:rRNA from 1 species
UUGAGAGUUUGAUCCUGGCUCAGAACGAACGCUGGCGGCAGGCCUAACACAUG